rnacentral:misc_RNA from 1 species
GUAGGUGGUUCGCCUACGACCUUAGCCGCGACUUUAUAUAAAAAACAAUGGCAUAGUCUGCUAGCAGGCAACAUCUCUACUGUGCUAGAAACCCUAACCGGCUACUAGCAGCUCGCAUGCGAGUUCACAGGUCAAAUAGAGGUGGCCCUUAGGGGUUAAGAUAUGAUCGGACUUGGUUAUAGCUAACCAAGAUAAUCGGAACCUGCGGAAGGAUCAUUACAGAGUCGAUAGAUCAGCGCAAGCUAUCUAC